CUCGAAGGGGUGCUGGCACAGGGAAGAUAAGUCCUGAGCUGAGCUGAGAUUAUACCCGAAGACCUGAUCCAGAUAAUGCUGGCGUAGGCAGAGA
rnacentral:ncRNA from 1 species